rnacentral:sRNA from 1 species
AGCUGUUCCCCUCUGGAGGUUUUGACCUUCACACCUACAAGGGCCCCGAUCUUUCGGUGGCCCUCUUUUUUUGCCCGA